rnacentral:rRNA from 1 species
UAGGGAAUCUUCGGCAAUGGACGAAAGUCUGACCGAGCAACGCCGCGUGAGUGAAGAAGGUUUUCGGAUCGUAAAACUCUGUUGUUAGAGAAGAACAAGGACGUUAGUAACUGAACGUCCCCUGACGGUAUCUAACCAGAAAGCCACGGCUAACUACGUGCCAGCAGCCGCGGUAAUACGUAGGUGGCAAGCGUUGUCCGGAUUUAUUGGGCGUAAAGCGAGCGCAGGCGGUUUCUUAAGUCUGAUGUGAAAGCCCCCGGCUCAACCGGGGAGGGUCAUUGGAAACUGGGAGACUUGAGUGCAGAAGAGGAGAGUGGAAUUCCAUGUGUAGCGGUGAAAUGCGUAGAUAUAUGGAGGAACACCAGUGGCGAAGGCGGCUCUCUGGUCUGUAACUGACGCUGAGGCUCGAAAGCGUGGGGAGGAAACAGG